rnacentral:sRNA from 1 species
AGUUAACGAUUACAAAGGAUAUAUUGGGUAGCGACUGUAUAUUCUCUAAAGUUAACUUAAUACGUAGUAGUGGUUAAAGUUCUCCCAAGGAUACUACUAGGAAGCACACUUCGAGUUCUCCGGAGUGUGUUUCUU